GAGUUCUCAUCAAUGCCUCCUGGUCCAGUCCUCCCACCAUACACCUGUCAGAAGUUCCUGCACCCCUUUGGGCUCCUCCAGCUUAACUUCUUUAAUGCUGUGUCAGCUGUUAGGGAAAUGGGAAGGAAGAGAAAAGAAAAAUGGUGAAUGCAAAGAACCAUAUUCAGGAGGUGCUUGGUCUCUGCUUACAAAGGCUGCAGCGAGACCCCCCCAUAUGAAGAUGCUAUCGAGGAUUAUGUCGGAGCUCCCUGGGUCCUCAGCAGUGAGGCUGGCCUCCCUGCGUGACCUGCCCGCCCAGCUCCUGGAGCUGUACCAGCAGGGCUUCUCACUGGCGGCCCUGCACCCCUUCGUGCAGCCCACCCAUGAGCGGGAGAAGACGCCCCUGGAGCACAUCUUUAGAGCCAUCCUGAUCAAGAAAACCGACAGAUCUCAGAAAACUGAUCUUCACAAUGAAGGCUACAUCUUGGAAUUAGAUUGCUGUUCCUCCUUAGACCACCUGACAGACCAGAAACUCAUCCCAGAGUUCAUUAAGAAGAUCCAGGAGGCUGCAAGCCAGGGCCUGAAAU
rnacentral:sRNA from 1 species